GAUGAAGAACGUAGCGAAAUGCGAUAAGUAGUGUGAAUUGCAGAAUUCAGUGAAUCAUCGAAUCUUUGAACGCACAUUGCGCCCCUUGGUAUUCCAUGGGGCAUGCCUGUUCGAGCGUCAUUUGUACCUUCAAGCUUUGCUUGGUGUUGGGUGUUUGCCUCGCCUUUGCGUGUAGACUCGCCUUAAAAUAAUUGGCAGCCGGCGUAUUGAUUUCGGAGCGCAGUACAUCUCGCGCUUUGCACUCAUAACGACAGCGUCCAAAAGUACAUUUUACACUCUUGACCUCGGAUCAGGUAGGGAUACCCGCUGAACUUAAGCAUAUCAAUAAGCGGAGGA
rnacentral:misc_RNA from 1 species